rnacentral:rRNA from 1 species
UAUUGCACAAUGGGCGCAAGCCUGAUGCAGCCAUGCCGCGUGUAUUGAAGAAGGCCUUCGGGUUGUAAAGUACUUUCAGCAGUGAGGAAGGUGGGUAUCGUUAAUAGCAUAUUCAUUUGACGUUUAGCUGCAGAAGAAGCACCGGCUAACUCCGUGCCAGCAGCCGCGGUAAUACGGAGGGUGCGAGCGUUAAUCGGAAUUACUGGGCGUAAAGCGCAUGCAGGUGGUUUGUUAAGUCAGAUGUGAAAGCCCGGGGCUCAACCUCGGAAUUGCAUUUGAAACUGGCAAACUAGAGUACUGUAGAGGGGGUAGAAUUUCAGGUGUAGCGGUGAAAUGCGUAGAGAUCUGAAGGAAUACCGGUGGCGAAGGCGGCCCCCUGGACAGAUACUGACACUCAGAUGCGAAAGCGUGGGGAGCAAACAGGAUUAGAUACCCUGGUAG